AAACGAAACGGUUGACUCCCUAA
rnacentral:tRNA from 1 species